UACAGAGGUCCCGAGCGUUGUUCGGAUUCACUGGGCGUAAAGGGUGCGUAGGUGGUGAGGUAAGUCGGAUGUGAAAUCUCCGGGCUCAACCCGGAAAUGGCAUUGGAAACUACCUUGCUUGAGGAUUUGAGGGGGGAUUGGAAUACUUGGUGUAGCAGUGAAAUGCGUAGAUAUCAUUUGGAACGCCAAUGGUGAAAACAGGUAGCUGGGAGUGUGCUGACACUGAGACACGAAAGCCAGGGGAGCAAACGGG
rnacentral:rRNA from 1 species